ACAAACAAUGCAAGCUGAACAGGACGAGGAAGAAAAAGCGUCAGAAAAAGCAGGAGAAGAGGAGGAAGAUGAAGAGGAAGAGAAAAAAGAAGAUGACGUUAAACCAGAAGAAGGAGAAGAUACUGACAAGAAAGAGGAUAGUCAAGAUACACCAGAAACAGAAGAGAAAAGCGAGGG
rnacentral:lncRNA from 1 species